GCUAUCAGGAAAGGCUGUUGUGGGCAGCAACACAGCUGGACGUUCCUUUGCUUACUGAUGGGAGAUUCAUAAGCAGAGACAGGGUUUCACUGUGUUAGCCAGGAUGGUCUCGAUCUCCUGACCUCAUGAUCCGCCCGCCUCGGCCUCCCAAAGUGCUGGAAUUACAGACGUGAGCCACUACGCCUGGCCGAGAAACCUAUUUUUGAUGUUUAUAUUUGGAUACUUGCUCUUGGAGCCUACCUGCCCUGCUGGGAGGAUGCUGGGAACACCUGGAGAGCCAUGUGCAGCUGUUUGGCCAGCAAUCCCAGCUUUGUUCCCAGCCAGCUGCCAGACCUGGGAGUGAGGAAGCCUUCCAGAAGACCCCAGCCUAGUCCCCAUCUGACAGCGACCUCAUGAGAUAUCCUGAGUGAGAUCGACC